rnacentral:rRNA from 1 species
CCUACGGGAGGCUGCAGUGGGGGAUAUUGCACAAUGGGGGGAACCCUGAUGCAGCGACGCCGCGUGGGUGAAGGAGUGCUUCGGCAUGUAAAGCCCUAUCGGCAGGGAAGAAGCAAGACGGUACCUGACUAAGAAGCCCCGGCUAACUACGUGCCAGCAGCCGCGGUAAUACGUAGGGGGCAAGCGUUAUCCGGAAUUACUGGGUGUAAAGGGAGCGUAGACGGCAAUGCAAGUCCGGAGUGGAAUGCGGCAGCUCAACUGCCGAACUGCUCUGGAAACUGUAUGGCUUGAGUGCAGGAGGGGUAAGCGGAAUUCCUGGUGUAGCGGUGAAAUGCGUAGAUAUCAGGAGGAACACCGGUGGCGAAGGCGGCUUACUGGACUGUAACUGACGUGGAGGCUCGAAAGCGUGGGGAGCAAACAGGAUUAGAUACCCGAGUAGUC